AGAAAUUGAAUAUUAAAAAUGAGUUUGGAAAAAAGAGCCAAGUUAAAAAAUCAAUUAAGUUCUUGAUUUCUAAAUUAAUUUCUGUAGUUUAAUCUGACGAGAAAUUUGUGAUAAAAUCAGGAUCAGAUCAAUUACUGCUGUUCGUGGGCUCUCUCUUUGAAUUUGGGUCGAUCGAAGCACCUCCUCCUAGCCCUCAAGAACUCCAGUAUGUUCAAGAAACCAAAAGGGUGUUGGAGCUUCUCAGGAAAACAGAGGCAUGCUUUUUAGCGAUGUUAAGUUGACAGUGAUGAUUGAGGACCCAAGAAGAGAAGCUGAGAGAAGGAGACUGCCUGGCAUUAAUGAUGGACAUGGCUGAAGCUCAAGAACAGCUGUCAAAGGAAGCCGGGACCAUUCUUUCAUUUCAACAUGUCCUCUUUGAAAGGAUGUCUAGAAGAUGAUAUUUGAAAUUUAUCACUUCAUCUUUCUCGAAAGUUGAAGCAAUUGAUCGGAGAGCAAUAACUCAUUUCACAGACUGAUUAUUAUGUACAUAUUAAGUAUGUAUACAAGCAUAAAUCAUUGCGUGCAUGCACCAUGUAAACAAAUAGGUCCAAAAAACAUAGUGUGAUGACAAAAGGUUUGAGAUCUGCACAGCAGAUCUCGAGUUCGAGUCAAGACGUGUAUUUUUUAUAAGAGCCUGGAAUAGCCGGAGUUUUACUCGUUCACCUAGACCCACAAAGUAUGCU